rnacentral:rRNA from 1 species
UACGAAGGGGGCUAGCGUUGUUCGGAUUUACUGGGCGUAAAGCGCACGUAGGCGGAUCUUUAAGUCAGAGGUGAAAUCCCAAGGCUCAACCGUUGGAACUGCCUUUGAUACUGGGGAUCUUGAGUCCGGGAGAGGUGAGUGGAACUGCGAGUGUAGAGGUGAAAUUCGUAGAUAUUCGCAAGAACACCAGUGGCGAAGGCGGCUCACUGGCCCGAUACUGACGCUGAGGCACGAAAGCGUGGGGAGCAAACAGGG